AUUGAACGCUGGCGGCAGGCCUAACACAUGCAAGUCGAGCGGAUGACGGGAGCUUGCUCCUUGAUUCAGCGGCGGACGGGUGAGUAAUGCCUAGGAAUCUGCCUGGUAGUGGGGGACAACGUUUCGAAAGGAACGCUAAUACCGCAUACGUCCUACGGGAGAAAGCAGGGGACCUUCGGGCCUUGCGCUAUCAGAUGAGCCUAGGUCGGAUUAGCUAGUUGGUGGGGUAAUGGCUCACCAAGGCGAAGAUCCGUAACUGGUCUGAGAGGAUGGUCAGUCACACUGGAACUGAAACACGGUCCGGACUCCUACGGGAGGCAGCAGUGGGGAAUAUUGGACAAUGGGCGAAAGCCUGAUCCAGACAUGCCGCGUGUGUGAAGAAGGUCUUCGGAUUGUAAAGCACUUUAAGUUGGGAGGAAGGGCAGUAAGCUAAUACCUUGCUGUUUUGACGUUACCGACAGAAUAAGCACCGGCUAACUCUGUGCCAGCCGCCGCCGUAA
rnacentral:rRNA from 1 species